AUGAGUAGAUUCUCAAGGAUGACUCCUUGGAAGAUGGUAACAUCAGGAACACUGAUAAAAACAAGAGCUGAAUUGGGGUCUGCUUAUGUGAGAGAAACUAGGGGAACCUUUAGAGGGAGAAGUAAAAUACCCAAAGCCUCUGAUCUCAGCAGUAGGAUGUAUGCUACAAAAAUAUUCUUGGAAAAUUAAAUGGAAGAGCAGUCAUUUUAAUCUCGGGGAAUCAAGAUUUUGUAGCUGGAGAGAGUGAAGUCAGGAGCAGUAGUACCAGUGACAGCAAUGAGAAUCCG
rnacentral:lncRNA from 1 species